rnacentral:rRNA from 1 species
CCGUGCCUACGGGAGGCAGCAGUGGGGAAUAUUGCACAAUGGGGGAAACCCUGAUGCAGCGACGUCGCGUGAGUGAAGAAGUAUUUCGGUAUGUAAAGCUCUAUCAGCAGGGAAGAAAAAAGACGGUACCUGACUAAGAAGCCCCGGCUAACUACGUGCCAGCAGCCGCGGUAAUACGGAGGAUGCGAGCGUUAUCCGGAUUUAUUGGGUUUAAAGGGUGCGCAGGCGGUCUGUUAAGUCAGCGGUCAAAGCCCGGGGCUCAACCCCGGCCCGCCGUUGAAACUGGCAGUCUCGAGUUGGAGAGA